rnacentral:rRNA from 1 species
GACGAACGCUGGCGGCGUGCCUAAUACAUGCAAGUCGAGCGAACAGAUGAGGAGCUUGCUCCUCUGACGUUAGCGGCGGACGGGUGAGUAACACGUGGAUAACCUACCUAUAAGAGGGGGAUAACUUGGGGAAACCGGAGCAAAUACCGGAUAAGAUAUUGAACCGCAGGGGGCAAUAGUGAAAUACGGUGUUGCUGGCAGGUAUAGAUGGAUCUGCGCCGCAUUGGCUAGUUGUUAAGGUAACGGCUUAUCAAGGCAACGAUGCGUAACCGAAUUGUGGGACUGGUCGCCGGCCCGGGAAGUGGACCACGGUCCAGGCUCCUAAGGGAGGCAGCAGUAGGGUAUCUUCCGCAAAAGGCGAGAGCCUGGCGGAGCGACGCCGCGUCAGAGAUGAAGGUCUUCCGAUCGUGAAACUCUGUUAUGGGGGAGUAACCAAUUUCUAAGGUACUAUGCACUUCUUGACGGUACCUAAUAAGAAAGCCACGGCUAACUACGUG